UACAGAGGUGGCAAGCGUUGUUCGGAAUUACUGGGCGUAAAGGGCGCGUAGGCGGCCUUCUAAGUCGGACGUGAAAGCCCCAGGCUUAACCUGGGAACUGCGUCUGAUACUGGGAGGCUUGGAUUCGGGAGAGGGAUGUGGAAUUCCAGGUGUAGCGGUGAAAUGCGUAGAUAUCUGGAGGAACACCGGUGGCGAAGGCGGCAUCCUGGACCGAGAUCGACGCUGAGGCGCGAAAGCUAGGGGAGCAAACGGG
rnacentral:rRNA from 1 species